rnacentral:tRNA from 1 species
GCCUCUUUAGCUCAGUGGUACAGCACUGGUCUAGUAAACCAGAGGUCGUGAGUUCAAUUCUCACAGUGGGCA